GUAAUAUUCCCUCCAUCCCAAAAUUCUUGUCUUACAUUUGUUUAGAUACAGAUGUAUCUAACACUAAAAUGUAACUAGAUACAUCCAUUUUAGACAAAUUUAAGACAAGAAUUUUGGGACGGAGGGAGUACAAA
rfam:Triticum aestivum genome assembly, contig: Triticum_aestivum_CS42_TGACv1_scaffold_328949_4BS